rnacentral:rRNA from 1 species
AACGAACGCUGGCGGCAGGCCUAACACAUGCAAGUCGAGCGAGGACUUCGGUUCUAGCGGCGGACGGGUGAGUAACGCGUGGGAAUGUGCCCUUCUCUACGGAAUAGCCCUGGGAAACUGGGAGUAAUACCGUAUACGCCCUAUUGGGGAAAGAUUUAUCGGAGAAGGAUCAGCCCGCGUUGGAUUAGGUAGUUGGUGGGGUAAUGGCCUACCAAGCCGACGAUCAUAGCUGGUUUGAGAGGAUGAUCAGCCACACUGGGACUGAGACACGGCCCAGACUCCUACGGGAGGCAGCAGUGGGGAAUCUUAGACAAUGGGGGCAACCCUGAUCUAGCCAUGCCGCGUGAGUGAUGAAGGCCUUAGGGUUGUAAAGCUCUUUCAGCUGGGAAGAUAAUGACGGUACCAGCAGAAGAAGCCCCGGCUAACUCCGUG